UGGGGAAUUUUGGACAAUGGGCGCAAGCCUGAUCCAGCCAUGCCGCGUGCGGGAAGAAGGCCUUCGGGUUGUAAACCGCUUUUGUCAGGGAAGAAAUCUUCUGAGUUAAUACCUCGGGAGGAUGACGGUACCCUGAAGAAUAAGCACCGGCUAACUACGUGCCAGCAGCCGCGGUAAUACGUAGGGUGCAAGCGUUAAUCGGAAUUACUGGGCGUAAAGCGUGCGCAGGCGGUUUUGUAAGACAGAGGUGAAAUCCCCGGGCUCAACCUGGGAACUGCCUUUGUGACUGCAAGGCUUGAGGUGCGGCAGAGGGGGAUGGAAUUCCGCGUGUAGCAGUGAAAUGCGUAGAUAUGCGGAGGAACACCGAUGGCGAAGGCAAUCCCCU
rnacentral:rRNA from 1 species